UCUCCCAUAUGGUCGACCUGCAGGCGGCCGCGAAUUCACUAGUGAUUAGAGUUUGAUCCUGGCUCAGAUUGAACGCUGGCGGCAUGGCUAAAACAUGCAAGUCGAACGCCUGUAGCAAUACAGGAGUGGCGAAAGGGCGAGGAAUAGAUUCCUACAUACCUCGAGGUCGGGGAUACCCCGGAGAAAUCCGGAUCAAUACCCGAUGUGGUCGAGAGAUCAAAGGUUUACCGCCUUGAGAGUGGGGAAUCUCCUAUCAGCUAGUUGGUGAGGUAACGGCUCACCAAGGCAAAGACGGGUAGCGGGUGUGAGAGCACGGCCCGCCGCAUCGAGACUGAGACACUGCUCGGACUCCUACGGGAGGCUGCAGUAACGAAUCUUCCGCAAUGCGCGAAAGCGUGACGGGGCAAUGCCGCGUGCAGGAUGAAGCCCUUCGGGGUGUAAACUGCUGUCAGGGUGCAGGAAUGAAAUGACCAUACCCAAAGGAAGCACCGGCUAACUCUGUGCCAGCAGCCGCGGUAAUACAGAGGGUGCGAGCGUUAAUCGGAAUCACUGGGCUUAAAGGGUGCGUAGGCGGAUGCAUAGGCGCUUUGUGAAAUCCCACGGCUCAACCGUGGAAUUGCUUGGCGAACCAUGCGUCUUGAGGUUGGUAGAGGUCACUGGAACGAUAGGUGGAGCGGUGAAAUGCGUAGAUAUCUAUCGGAACGCCAACGGUGAAGACAGGUGACUGGGCCAAAUCUGACGCUGAGGCACGAAAGCGUGGGGAGCAAACGGGAUUAGAUACCCCGGUAGUCCACGCCGUAAACGAUGCACACUUGGUCGGAGCGGUUUGACUCCGUUUCGGCCGUAGGAAAACUGAUGAGUGUGCCGCCUGGGGAGUACGGUCGCAAGAUUAAAACUCAAAGGAAUUGACGGGGGCUCACACAAGCGGUGGAGCAUGUGGCUUAAUUCGAAGCAACGCGAAGAACCUUACCUAGGCUUGACAUGCACGGAUAAACCCUAUGAAAGUAGGGGUACACCCGCAAGGGCGGAACGUGCGCAGGUGCUGCAUGGCUGUCGUCAGCUCGUGCUGUGAAGUGUCGGGUUAAGUCCCUCAACGAGCGCAACCCCUGUCGCUACUUGCUAACGUGUAAUGGCGAGGACUGUAGCGAGACUGCCGGUGUCAAACCGGAGGAAGGUGGGGAUGACGUCAAGUCCUCAUGGCCUUUAUGUCUAGGGCUGCACACGUGCUACAAUGGUAUGGACAGAACGAUGCAAGACCGCAAGGUGGAGCAAAUCGCCAAACCAUACCCCAGUUCAGAUUGUGGGCUGAAAUUCGCCCGCAUGAAGUUGGAAUCGCUAGUAAUCGCGGAUCAGCUACGCCGCGGUGAAUAUGUUCCUGAGCCUUGUACACACCGCCCGUCAAGUCAUGGGAGCCGGCAGUGCCCGAAGUCGCGCAGAUUCAUGCGUGCCCACGGCAAGGCUGGUGACUGGGACUAAGUCGUAACAAGGUAGCCGUAGGGGAACCUGCGGCUGGAUCACCUCCUUAAUCGAAUUCCCGCGGCC
rnacentral:rRNA from 1 species